rnacentral:lncRNA from 1 species
UCGAAUCACUUCGUUACUGAUUAAAUGUUUCCUAUAAUUCUGCGGUUAAAGCAAAAUUCGAUAUCCAUUGGACGGAUGUUUCCAAAAGGUACAAGCUCAUAAAGUGGGCGUACAAGUCCUAUGGCGUCUUCUAUCAUGGUUACUAGGCCACCUAUUAUUAUUGGGGUACAGUUAUUCUUAGCAAGGUGAACAAAUUAUUCCAUCAUGAAUGUCAC